rnacentral:tRNA from 1 species
AGGGGUGUAGUUUAGUGGCAGAGUGCUCAUCUAGUAAGUGCAAAGUCCUGGGUUCAAUCCCCAGUACCUCCA